AUAAACAGCUAACAUUGUGGAUCGCGUGAGUGGUAUUUUAUCAAAAAGAAAAACUAGGUUAAAGCUUAAUUGAUUUUGUUUGAUAAAAGAUUUUCACCUAACACAGAUUAAUAGAUUAGUUUAUCUGAGGUAUCACAUUAUAUACCAGAAAUUAAAAUGAAUGUAAAAUUUCUACCUUGCUUAAUUGCAUAUAUUCUGAUCUUCUGGAACUUAGCAGUUAUGGCAUUUAAUAAAAAUGGAUAAAAAGAAGUGCCUCAUGAAUAUAUGGAUGUGGAGAACUUGGAUAAUCUGUUUGAAGAGAUCUAGAUUCGAUCAAAUGAACAUCUCAAGAAGAGUAACGUGUUUUGUGUGCAUUUAAAUAUAUUACACCGGAUA